GAGGCCUCCCAGGACGGCGGUCCGUCUCAGAGCAGGGACCCAGAGGACAUGGCCCAGGCCAGGGUGGACAUCAGGAAGCUGCAGCAGUUCCUCAUGGGUCAGCAGGUCAACCCCAGCAAGGCCAUGUGCAAUAUCGUCCACGAGAGAGUCGUCCACCUGAUUCUGCUGCAUGAAGAUGUGUCGCUGCAGUAUUUCAUCCCCGCUGUGGCCUAGACCUUCUGCAGACCCCAGUCAGUUCUGCUCACUGUGAGUUUGGGGACAUAUAAAAUGGGUUUUGGACAGAGGAUUCUCAAUGUCUGGGAGUCUGUCCCACCGAGGCUGGUUUCAGUCCUCAGCGCGGACCUAAGGAAGAGCUCACAUGUUCACAGGACAUGCUGGUGAAUCCACAUUUAUCGCGACGAAGUCGGACAGAAAACGGAAACAAGUUGCAUAUUAGUUGUUUGGGACGUUCAGUUUGUUAUUGUAUUUGCAUUAAAUGAGUUGUAAUAUUUAA